UACGUAGGGUGCGAGCGUUAAUCGGAAUUACUGGGCUUAAAGGGUGCGUAGGCGGCGUGGUAAGUUGGGUGUUAAAUCCCUCGGCUCAACCGAGGAACUGCGCCCAAAACUACCAUGCUUGAGGAAGAUAGAGGUAAGCGGAACUUACGGUGGAGCGGUGAAAUGCGUUGAUAUCGUAAGGAACACCUGUGGCGAAAGCGGCUUACUGGGUCUUUUCUGACGCUGAUGCACGAAAGCGAGGGGAGCAAACGGG
rnacentral:rRNA from 1 species